rnacentral:rRNA from 1 species
GAUGAACGCUAGCGACAGGCCUAACACAUGCAGGUCGAGGGGCAGCACGAAGUAAGCUUGCUUACUUUGGUGGCGACCGGCGCACGGGUGCGUAACAGGUGUGCAAUCUGUCCAUAAUCGGGGAAUAGCCCAGCGAAAGUUGGAUUAAUGCUCCAUGAGAGUUUUAGAGGCAUCUCUUUAAUUUGAAACGUAAGGAUUAUGGGUGAGCACGCUUCUGAUUAGGUAGUUGGUGAGGUAACGGCUCACCAAGCCGACGAUCAGUAGGGGUUCUGAGAGGAAGGUCCCCCACAUUGGAACUGAGACACGGUCCAAACUCCUACGGGAGGCAGCAGUGAGGAAUAUUGGUCAAUGGACGGAAGUCUGAACCAGCCAAGUCGCGUGAAGGAUGAAGGUUCUAUGGAUUGUAAACUUCUUUUGUCUGAGGGUAAAAAAGCGGACGUGUCCGUUCUUGCAAGUAUCAGACGAAUAAGCAUCGGCUAACUCCGUGCCAGCAGCCGCGGUAAUAC